rnacentral:rRNA from 1 species
AGAGCGAACGCUGGCGGCAGGCCUAACACAUGCAAGUCGAACGGACUCUUCGGAGUUAGUGGCGGACGGGUGAGUAACACGUGGGAACGUGCCUUUUGGUUCGGAAUAGCUCCUGGAAACGGGUGGUAAUGCCGAAUGUGCCCUUCGGGGGAAAGAUUUAUCGCCAUUAGAGCGGCCCGCGUCUGAUUAGCUAGUUGGUGAGGUAAAGGCUCACCAAGGCGACGAUCAGCAGCUGGGUCUGAGAGGAUGACCAGCCACAUUGGGACUGAGACACGGCCCAAACUCCUACGGGAGGCAGCAGUGGGGAAUCUUGCGCAAUGGGCGAAAGCCUGACGCAGCCAUGCCGCGUGAAUGAUGAAGGUCUAGGAUUGUAAAAUUCUUCACCGGGACGAUAAUGACGGUACCCGGAGAAGAACGCCCGGACUAACUUCGUGCCAGCAGCCGC